CCUACGGGAGGCAGCAGUGGGGAAUAUUGCGCAAUGGGCGAAAGCCUGACGCAGCAACGCCGCGUGAGUGAUGAAGGCCUUCGGGUUGUAAAGCUCUUUCGGUUGGGAAGAAGGGUGUGCGUACUAAUAAUACGUACAUUUGAUGGUACCAAAAGAAGAAGCACCGGCUAACUUCGUGCCAGCAGCCGCGGUAAUACGAAGGGUGCGAGCGUUGUUCGGAAUGACUGGGCGUAAAGGGUUCGUAGGCGGGAAUACAAGUCAAGUGUGAAAUCCCCAGGCUCAACCUGGGACGUGCACUUGAAACUGUAUUUCUUGAGUCGAGGAGAGGGUAAUGGAAUUGCUGGUGUAGGAGUGACAUCCGUAGAGAUCAGCAGGAACACCGGAGGCGAAGGCGAUUACCUGGCCGAAGACUGACGCUGAGGAACGAAAGCGUGGGGAGCAAACAGGAUUAGAUACCCUGGUAGUCCACGCCGUAAACGAUGAUAACUAGAUGUUGCGGGAAUUGACCCCUGCAGUAUCGCAGCUCACGCAUUAAGUUAUCCGCCUGGGGAGUACGGCCGCAAGGCUAAAACUCAAAUGAAUUGACGG
rnacentral:rRNA from 1 species